rnacentral:lncRNA from 1 species
UGGAGUUUCUGGAGCUACUCAUGCUUGCCUGCGACUCAUACCUACAUUUGUAUUCUAAUCACAGACAUUUCAUUUGCAUUCCUUAUGGCCUUUAACUAAUAACCAAACAGCAUGUCUGUCUGUCUGUCUGUCUGACUAACCACCCCAUACCAAGAUCAGCAGGUAACAAGGCUGUCUCGUGGGGCAUCUCUGCUGGUGUAAAGGACAUGUGGCUGCUUAGAACAGCCACACCUGUGGCUAGAGCCACCGUGAGAAUGGGACCUGGUGUUUUCCAGCUGUGACAUGGGGCACAGGUGGGAGUUCCUAGAAUCCAAGCCACAGGCUUGGUGCAAGCCCUGGGCAGGGUGUCUAGGUGCAGGGAGGCCCUCCUCCCUGGGGCCUGUGCCCAGAUUCAGCGGGUGACACCCUGCGGCCCACCCAGCAUCCCAUCUGUGCCCCGCGCCGCAGCAUCUCUCCAUACUGCUUCCUCUUGCUUCCGCGACAGUUUGCUCCCUCUCACGCUCCCUCAGAUUCCCAGCCCUGCCUCUGAGUCACCUGCCACUCCCACCCAGCCUCUGCUCUGUAUUCCUGCCAGAACCAGAGACUCAUCUAAUUUCUAUAAUUAAGUGUAUUCAUUUACCUAACGAGCCCGGGAGCACAACAGGUUUGUGAGUCAUUGGGUGAGCAGGGGUACACCUUGCACAGGGCCAGCUGAGGGGAAGUGAGGAGACAGAAGCUAUCCCGCCCACACCUGCCACUGGCCACACCUGCUCCCAAUAAGCCCCCUCCUCAGCCUGGGGCUAAAGAACAAAAGCCACAGCCAUGAUGUUUCCUGUUUCACCUGAUGGGAAUUGACCUGACAGCAGGGCCACGUGCCUGGCAAUUUUAGAGUCAGGUUAUGCAACUUUGAAAAGGGAACAACUAAAGAAGGCCCAUAUUUGCUCCCUCCAGGGUAAUCAAGAGAUCUGGUGAAAUAGCUUUAGGGACCUGGCAGGAGACUGGGACCAAGGAGGGCAACUCAAAAGGUGGCUCAGGCUUAAGUGUAAGAUUGUUUCCUGUGGUCAGCGUGCAAAGCAUGUGGCAAACAUGUCUGUCAGCACUGAGUAAACACUGGAUGACCCUCUGAAAAGGUCUGUUAGAGCAGGCCCUGGGAUACUCCACUCGAGCUGUGCUCUAUAGGGCCUGCCUGCUGCUACUUGCUUUCAGAGUGAUGUGUCUUCUGAGAUACGGAGAUACAGAGAGGGGUUGUGGGCAGGGAAGCCUGUGGGGUAGGGUACGAUGCUAAGUCGAAAUGCAGCUCCUUGUAGCAGCAGGUUCACCCCACCCGGAAGGGCUCCUGGCCCUAGGAGACUGUGGUCCGACAGAGACAUGAUGAGCCAGGUGUCCAGUUUAGCGGUACCACAGCUAUUUUCUCUGACUUGCUGUUCUGGUUCGGGGAGCUAAGGCAGCUAUUUCUGUGGCAGCCCUCAAGUUGUCAGGAGCCCAAGUUUCCACGGCACCCACCGCCUCCUCCCCUCUUCCCUCCUACAGGGAUGGGCAUGCUCAUAGCACCCCUGUGGGGGGCACAGAUGUCCCUGGGCAACACAGUGCGUCUGCCAGGCUGAAGCCCCCAGUGCUUUGUUGGAGGGAUGGGCUCCUAUACGUGCCCUUCCCCCCAUCUCCUGGCUCAACAGGGAAGAGACAGGGACCCACUUAGUGGCAGAACUAGGUAUGUUAUCUGCCCUCGUGCUUGCCCAGGGUCCUAGGAAAGAAGGAAUGCAUCAUGGACAUAACCUCCAUAUAUACUAGUCCCCAGCCUAAGAGGUACAGUACAGCCUCAGGCCCAUCCAGGCCUUGAAUCUUCUUCACUAGCAGAAAAGUCUGUCCCACCCAGAGUCUGAGGACACAGUUAACAUUUCCUUGGGGCAGACUUGGAAUUGGAUCUGUUGCUUUGGCUUCUAGAAACUUGGCCCUGUAGCUGGGGGCCGGGCCCCUUCUUAAAGGGCAAGCAGGCAGCCCAGGAACGAACUCCUAGCCUUACCUUCCAGUCUGUGCCAGUACUACUGACAACCCUAGAGUUAGCUUCACAGCUCAACCUUUAAGACAGGUGGCUGUGACAGACCACCAGUGGGAAGGCAACUGUUCAACUACAGCUAGGGGGAUGGUGAGUACUGGCUCAGGCUGCCAUUCACAAAGUAUCUAAGCAAGAAGGGCUCUGGUCAGUUUCCCUCAGAAGCACCAUACCUAGUGAGUUAUGUAGGUUAGAUAGAUUCCAGAUAAAGACUCCUAGAAAGAAUCCAACUAGCAGGACCCCAAGGACAGAGAGCAUAGAAACCAUUGACAAAAGCCAAAAGCCACCCAAGGCCAUUCUCUGCCCAAUGCAUCUUAGGGUGACCUGUAUGUAGAGUACCCAAAGUCACUCCCCUUUUCCUUGUGAGUAGAGACCAAUAGCUGGGUAGUUUUGGAUGUACAUGGACAGAUCACUGUUAGGAAAACAGAGCAAAGGGUAGCUAGGUCUUAUCCUCUGAGUUAAGUCAUCCCCUUGUGGUUUCCUGAGGGAUACAACUCAGAGGCAGGAACCGUAAAAGGCUAAGGGGCAGCGUUUAAGGAGGAGAGUUGGGGCCAGAGUCUUAAGGAGAUGGUAACAGGUCACUCUGAGAUGAAAACAUGGUUUUAGC